rnacentral:rRNA from 1 species
UCCGUAGGCGGGCGUCUAAGUCAGUGGUGAAAUCUUACAGCUCAACUGUAAAAUUGCCAUUGAUACUGGAUGUCUUGAAUUAGUGUGAAGUGGUUAGAAUGUGUAAUGUAGCGGUGAAAUGCAUAGAUAUUACACAGAAUACCAAUUGCGAAGGCAGAUCACUAACACUAUAUUGACGCUGAGGGACGAAAGCGUGGGGAGCGAACAGGAUUAGAUACCCUGGUAGUCC